rnacentral:lncRNA from 1 species
CUCAGGCUCCCUUCUGGGCCUUUGGGAUGGUGCUUUCAGAAUUCUCCACUUCUGCUGGGGUCCCGUGUCCGCUCCUGUGACGAUAACUGCAUGCUGAGGAGGUGGGGUCCCACGAGCUGAGCUUACCUUUCCCAGGUGUGCUUCCAACAGGAAUGUCGAAUACCUCAGGUGCUGUUUAGGACCACAACCCACCUGAGGACAAAAGCAGGUGACAAUAACCAGCUGAUCAGACAAUGGACUCGGGAGUCUUACAAUGACUAAUAUGUAAGUACGUUAAGACCUGGGUUUAUUUUUUUCUAACUUAUUAGGUGCUUACUUUUGUUUUGCUUGCUAAUUACCAAUCUAUAGUUAUAGAGCAGGACGGUGGUAGAUAAUGGAGGUGGUUAAACUCUCGCACAAAAAGCUCAGCUGCUUUUUUACAGGGUGUAGAUUAUCUGAUGCAAAAAAAGAAGCCCAGGCUUUUAUCUCUUGUCUCUUUCCCAUUUUUAUUGUUUUUGGGCUCUUUAAUGAAAAAGGUUUCGUUCCUCUCCAAGUCUAGCUCAUCCAUAAUUUAAUAAUAGUCAAGUCAGAGCUGUCUUAAUUGAGAAAACCUCUUUUCUAUUUAGAUUUCUAAUUGCUCCGCAGAAUUCCAGUUCUGCAUAAUUUGAGACUGCUUUUUAAGAGUCCACCAAUACCCUACCGUAAGGGUUCUCUAAUCACUAAUAGUGGGGCACUAAAUGUCAACUGUUCAUCUAGUAAUUUAUGUUCUUUACUUCACAGAUUUCCUUAAUUGCUUUUAACAUAAAUCUGAGAAAGAGUGAUUAAAGUAUUGCAGUCUCGGGAAGAUUUAGCAUUAGUCUGCAAACUCUUCUGAGAGAAUAUUAAGUGCUCAGCUCUCAGGAAAGAGGCCACGGGUUAGACACAGUGCCCUGUGUCCUGGAGGAGAGUCUGAUGGCUGAAACUGCAGCCCAGGUGGGACAUGCCGUCUCAGAAGUGCCCCUCUGACUCCUAGGAAUGAGUGUUCCCAAGCAAGCACCAAGUCACUCCCUCGGCCUUUCCGGUGGGUCAUGCCAAUGAUAAUGUUCUAUCCCUUUCUGCUUUACUUUUUAUGUUGUUUUGCAGUGCUGGGGAUGGAACCCAAGACCUCACACAUGCUAGGCAAGCACUCCUCCAAGGAGCUACACCCCUAAUCCUUUCUUUGAUUUAGAGAUAGCAUCUGCCAAACUUGCCCAGGCUGGCCUCCAACGUGGGAUCCUCCUGCCUCAGCCUCCAGAACUGCUGAGAUUACAGGUGUGUGACACUCUGCCUGGAUUUUUCUGCCUUAAUUUUAAAGACACUAAACAUCCCAAGAAUGGAUACUCCUCAGUUUCUCCUGGGACUUUUACCAUAAAGCACUGUAAAUGUUGAAAACAUCUCCUGAGAACAGGAGAGACAGGAUCUUUGGACUCUAACAUAGUUAACAACAACUGUGUUGUGCCUACGUUGUGAAGACUUCUUUUCUGAGAACAUGUUGUCUGCCCUGAUCUUGUUGUCUGUCCUCUUGUAGGAUCAUACAAGAAAUAGUAGGGUCAUGGCAUAGAGUAGUUGAGUCUUUAUAACUGUCCUUUUUUCCAGAAAAUGAGUCAAGUCUAUGUUUUAAAACAUCCUAGGAUAACAGCUCAUAAUGCAGUUGGACAAAGAAAGAAUGAAUGAAUUGGAGAAAUAAAAGCAAAUAUCAUGCACAGCAACUGUUCAGGCAACUUUCUGUUACUGUAACAAAAAACCUGAGAUCACCAAAUUAUAAGAAUGAAAGGUUUAUUUGACUCAGUUUUAGAUAUUUCAGCCCCUGCAUGGCUGGCCUCUUGCUUUGGGGCCUGUGGUGAGACAGGACACUGUGGCAGAAGUCCAUGGGAGAAGCAGCUACUAAUUUUAUGGCUGUUGGGAAGCAAAAGAGAGAGGAAGAGGCUGAAGUCCCGACAUCCCCUUUAGGGGCAUGCCACUAGUGUCCUUAAUUUCUCUCCCUACGUCCUGCCUCUCAAGGAUCCACCAUCUCCCAGGAGUGCUCCAGGCUGGUGACCAAGUCUUUAGCACAUGGGUGUUUGGGGGACAGUCAUCCAAACCAGAGCUGUCUGAAUAUGCCCCGAACCUCUUCAAAACCGCCAUCCUCCAACCAGAGAGUAAUCAAGCAGAAAAAAACCCUCAGAGCCUUCACUGUCAGAUGCCAUCUGCACGGAGGGGGACACACUCCACUGUGGGCACGGAACCUGGAACUGACCCUGAGGCUGCCAUCUCCCCUGGUUGCCUCUGCCUGUGGACCAGGCUCUGUCCUCAGGACAGUGCCACUGAACACGCAUGGGUCGGACAGGUGAAGAGCUUCCCGGGCCCUGCUCACUCCAGAAUCCAGUCCCUUUACACACCGGCCAGAGCCCCUCCUCGGGCUUUAGUCUGCAGAGCCCACCUGCACAGACAGGGCUGACUCUCCAGGCCUGUGGCAUCACCUCCAGCUCCUCGGAACGUCCACCUUGUGAGGUCUUCGUAUCCCCAGGGCUGUGGGCCACAGUGGAGAGCCCGUGCCAACAAGGUGAUUGUAUUAGGGUGGAGACAUGAAGCCAGGCCAUAUCAGGGGACCUUGAAGGGCUGGAGACUCUGUGGUCAGUAGAUGGUUUGAGAGGAGACUCUACACCCAUUCCCCACCAGCUGUGCCCAUGGGGCUGACUGCUGAGCUUUCUGUCCUUGAUGACCAGGGGUAGCACUUCUGACAUCCAUCAAUAUGCCCUUCCUCUGGGGAGGGGGUACCCCUCACAGUCUCUGCUCUUUCUGUCUUUAUCACAGACCUUACCUGGAUGUGCAUCCACAGUGUAUUUGAAAUCCUACAGUACUCCUGAUUGUCCAAGACUUUUUGGUUUGCUCAAUGUUUACCUACAAGAGAAUUUUAGCGGUACUUUGCCAAAUCUCCCCUCUCCUCCCCCCAGGAUUUUGAUGAGAAGUUCAUCUUAGUCACAGUUUCUUGCCAUUUGUCCACGUCUUCUUUGAGGAGUGUCUGCCAAGGUGUGUAGUGCUCUUCAGGAAAGCCCUUUUCAUUUUCUUCUAGAUUGUUAUUUACUGGCAUGGCAUUCUCCACUAGGAGCAUCUGGGUUUUUAACCCGUUCUGCUGUGACCAGCAUCCAGUUAUAUUUACAUGUAACAUAAAAACCACCACCCAUUCCUGCUUUUAGACCUUCUGCAUCAGCAGUCAACCCUCCAGGAAGUGCCUACCAUUUGCUGAGACUCUCGGGCCAGGAGCAACAUCAAAUACUUAAAAAUUGCUCUAAGGACACACUCCAUGCAGGCUGAAAAUCCCUGUUAUCUUACCCUCAAGCCCCAAGAGCUACUAUGACAUACAUGAGUCCUCCUUAAAAGUAAUCCAGGAAGCGCAGUCCCGUGUGACAGUGCCAGCGUGUCACGGGCCAUCCACGGCUGCCUUCACCUUUGUGGAUCCUGCAUCUCUCACCCUAAAGCUCCAACCAGAAAUGACAGGAAGACCUCACCAGGUUUUUCAGAAGUGACCACAUGCAGCCCUUCGUCAUCAUGAUGUAAGUGUCUCUGGUUUAGCCUGUUGAUUGGUGGAUUGCACUAACUGUUGGUAACCUGCUGAGCCAGCCUUGCACACCUGCAAUGAACCCCACUGGGUGUGACAUAUUUCCCUUCUAUAUAACAUUGGACUUGCUAGUAUUUGUGGAAGGGUAUUUGCAUCAAUGUUUGUAAGAAGUGCUGGUCUGUAGUUUUCCCGUCUUGUACUGUCUUCGUGUGCUUUGGGUGUCGGGGUGAUGCUGGCCUCGUGACUCAGGGUGGUAUUCCCUCUGCUUUAUUCUCUGCAACAUAUUGUAGAAAAUUAUCAUCAUUUCUUCCUCAAAUGUCUGUUACAAUCUGCCUGUGUACCCACCAGAGACUGGUGUCUACUGUUUUGGAAGGUUAUUAAUUAUUGAUUCAUCCCUUUUAAUAGAUAUGAGCCCAUUCAGAUGAUCUGUUUCUUCUUGUGUGAGUUUUAAAAGAUUGUGUCUUUCAAGGAAUUGGUCAUUAUAUAUGUCAUAAAAUUUGUGGACAUAGGAUUGUUCAAAAUAUUCCUUCCUUGUCCUUUUAAAGUCCAUCUGGUAGAUAAUGAGGAUCCCUCUUUCAUCUUUGAUAUUCUCUUUCUCAGUCUAGAUUAAGGAAUUUUCACAUUAGUUCUAUGGAGCAGCGAGCCAGACAUAUCUGCAAUGACACCCUUCAUUUGUGGCAGUUCCAGCUCCCUCCUCCGUCCCCUGAAGCCUGUGGUUCUGCUCUUUAGAACACACCUGAGAAAUGGCUCAGCCUCUGACUCCCUGAGGUAUUACCCAUCUUCUUCCCUCUCAACUGUGCGCUGAGGCAAAUUCUCUACUGAAAGGUAGCAUCUUAAUUUCUGUGCAAACUAGCAGAAAACAAAGCUAAUACGUCACACUCAUGAGAACAGUCUGUGGUUUUGUGACUUCAGGACUUGGGCAAAGUCGAGAGAGGGGCUUCCGACUGAGCAGCAGAACCACCACAAUAUCCUCGGCUUUGAAAGCUGAAAAAUAAUCAGGGUAGAAGGGAGUAUCCUGGGUAGAAAGUUGAACUAGCUCCCUCCCGGAUGAUGAAAGACAGGGCCAAACUUGAGAGUGCAGGAAGGUAUCAAGAAGCUGGCUGGUAGAUGUUCCCUUCCCACUGACCCCUGUAAGCAGACACAGGAACCGGCAGAAUGCAAGACCCCACACAGUCCCAAGAGGCUUGCAGUCACCUCUCUUGUCCCUUGAAUCUGUUUUUAUUCCAAAGAUAAAGCUAUGGCAUGAAGUGAGAUCACCAAGUGCCUGAAAUAAUUUAAAUCUCUAUUAGUAACACAUAGUUCAUAUAUUACUGGUACAUAUAUGGGAAGAGCCACAUGAGACUUUUACGGAAUGGAUCACAUUUCAUCAGUGUUGUAAGGAUUUCAUUGAUUUGCUCAUACUACAUGAGAACAAUAUAAUGCCUAUCUAGCAAAAUAAAAUCUGAGUACAUGGAUCAAAUACAUGAACUAAUCAUUGCCUUACAAAUCUUAACAUUUACACAUAGUGAAAGCUUCUAACAUCAUUCGUUUCCAGCCAUUAUCAAAAAGUGACGCUAAUAUAUUUGAAGGGUAUUCAAUUCUUGAACUUCCUCAGACUUCCACAUUUUUCCACCUUGGAUCAAAAUAGGUACAUACAUCGUGAAUCUCAGUGACAGGGUGACACGUCGUCAUCACAUCAGGUAGACUUUGUCCCUAGUGUGGCACAGGCUGGUCUAGAGCUCCUGGACUCACGUGGCCCUCCCACCACAACCUUCCCAGUGCUGGGCUCACAGGUGUGCCCCCAACCUGACUUGCCACGACCCGCGACUGAUCAGGUUCACUCCAUGGGAACUGGGCUGACGACCAUACAAACACAGAAAAAAUACCUUUUCUGGGGUGCAGUGACAGCUCCUCAGCCUCCACUCCCAAAAGGGAGGCAAAAGAAAAGCAAGAGAGAGAGCGCGCCCCAGCCCUGGAUUUUACUGGGGAACGCUGUUGGAUAGAACAUUCCAUCCAAAUAAGGCCAAGGGGUGAGAUCACAAGAGAACAAGGGGUCCGGUUUCAGAGGAUGGAGUCUUGCUUGGCGCUGUCUUGGUCGGCAGUUUGACUGACAUCUUGGAGAGUGACACCCAUCUCAGUUGCUCCAGGGGAUCAAAGGCAGAGUUGCCCAGCCCAAUCAGGCAGCAAGGCAGACCAGUUCCUUACACGCUCAAAGGCACAAAGCUCACGCACACAGUCCUGGCUGGCUCACAACACUGACUUGUCACAUAAUCAUUCAUAUGUUUUCAGAAUGAUUUAAAGACUUUGCCAGCUUCUUAAAACUUCUCAGUGAGAGUGAGUCUUCUCAGUAAAGAGUGACUUUUUGUUAAUGGUUGCAAAUGAAUGGUACAGGAAGCUUUCACUAUGUGUAAAUAAAUAUCUUUAUUUCUGACUCUUGGAAAAUGAUAAGGCUCAAAGAGUUUAAGUAAAUUUUCCAAGGAUCCCAGAGGUGCUGAGAACCAGAGUGAGAAUCCUGCAAACUUUUCCUUUCUGGAACCUGCGUGACAACAUGUUUCUCUCUACCCUUUAAUGCUGAAAUACAGCUACAAGCCGGGACAUGUUUACUGAAAUACAGUGAAGAAUACUACUUUGCCGAGGGUCAAAGGAUACAGGAAAAAUCUGUAAGUUAAGCUGAUGCAAUUCACUCAUUUAUCAAUGAGGAAAUUAAAACCAACAUGGAUGAAUUUCUUGUCUAGUCUCCCAACACCAACCAAAGCCUUAUCUACUAUAUUUUGCUGAUAUUUGUACCAAUGUCUUAAAAUAUGAGUUAUUAUGAAAUACACUCUCUAUCACUUCCCUAAUUCACACACUGUUGGUUAUUUGAAAACCAAUUCUCUAGUUGAUAUACUGUUCAAGGCUCUGAAACCACUAACAGUGCUUUGGCUUUUUAACAAGACCUUCUUACCGGCAGUGGGAAGGCAAGUUAGGAGAUGUUCAGUAGAGAAAACGGAUUCUGUCUGUAGCCUCCAUCUUCACCAGGAAUGAAGAGUUUAUAAAGUUACCAGAAAAGCAAGACAAUGGCCUACUAUGAAUUAAAAGAGGUCCUUUUAAAAAAAUAAAAGUUAUGAAUAUUUUACUGCAGAAUUUAACAUGUGAAGGGAAUUCUGACUUUUCAUUUUGAGACAAGGUCUUGCUGGCUUGCUCAGGGCCUCACUAAGACUCUGAGGCUGCCUAUGAACUUGCAGUCCUCCUGCCUCAACCUCCAGUGUUGCUGGGAUCACAGGCGUGCACCAUCACGCCUGGCUGGUUACUAUUUUCUACAAAACAUUUUUAACUUAUGUCAUCUCUCAGGGACAAGACAUGACCUGAGAAGAGCUGUCAUCAGUGAGGGCAGGGGCGCAGAGAAGUGGGGCACCACCAGCCCAGCUGCUGCGGUGUCCAGGAGCAAGCCUGUGUGAGCAGCAGGGGAAGAGCCGGUGGCAAAUCCGUGGGCUUGUCAAACUCGAAUCUUGUCCCCACCACUUCUAACCACAUGACUUUGGACCUUAGUUUCCACAUCUCAAAAUGGGAAUAGGGACCUCGCAGGGUUGUUUUGAUUAUUAAGUAAGAAAAGGUGUGUCAAGUACAAAUAAAUAUUAGUGCCUGUCCCUCAUGGCAAUGGUAUUUUUGAUGGGGAAAUACUAGGGUGGUUAUGGGACAAAGGGACAGUCUGAAGUCCAGGCUGUUGGGGAAUACUGGCGCCUCUAGCUGCCCUCUCAGCUUUCUCCUUUCUCUGCUCAUAAUCCCUCUCUGUAACUAUGACAGCCUGACUGCUUUGCAUAACUUCAGACUGUACCUAUCUCUCUGUAUUCUCUGCUUAUUAAAGAGUAAUCUGUUGCAACUGUCAAUCAUCCUACAACAGGUCCAGCACGUGCCAUCUGGGACACAGACCAUACAAAAACUCUCUCCAUGAAACUGUGAGCACAUCCAGUCAUUCAAACCACAUUCCCAUGACCGUCCUCCUAAAUGCUCUGGCUGUGCUGCUGGAACAUGCAACUCUGAAACACAGGCUCAAAACCCUGCUUAGAAAACCUGUACCGCUGGGUUUGCACAAAACGAGAUCUAUGGGUGCUGCACCCUUGCACUUUAAAAUCCUCAACAGCUGGCUGAAGGAAGCACACCCAGAAGUAAUUUGCAUUUAGCUCCUGAAUAAGCUUUACAAUCAAAAGUAAUUUGGUUGAAGCAUAUUGAAGCACCUUGCGUUUGCAGUGGGUGGGGGUUGAUUUAGUCACAGGCCCGCGCUGCAUGCACUGCUUAUGCCGUGAUUCCCAACAAUCCCAAGUGCAAACGAGGGCUCCAUUUUCUUGGUGUUCUGGCACGCUGCUCGUUUUUAUUUUCAAGAUGCCGAGAGUUGGAG